GCCUGGGUGGCUCAGUUGGUGAAGCAUCUGACUUGAUUUUGGCUCAGGUCAUGAUCUCAGGGUCGUGGGAUCGAACCCCGCGUCAGGCU
rnacentral:tRNA from 1 species